rnacentral:rRNA from 1 species
UUAUAAUAAAUCAAUUAAACUGAUCUCCUAGUAAAAAAGCUAGAAUUAAACCAUAAGACCAGAAGACCCUGUGAAGCUUUAACUAAACUAUUAAACCCCAUAAUAACUACUUUCGGUUGGGGCGACCUUGGAAAAAAAAAGAACUUCCAACAAUACGACCUAACUCGUACAUACCAAUACAGGCCCACAAGCCACACAACGACCCAGCAAAGCUGACAAUCGAACCAAGUUACUCCAGGGAUAACAGCGCAAUCCUCUUCAAGAGCCCAUAUCAAAAAGAGGGUUUACGACCUCGAUGUUGGAUCAGGACAUCCUAAUGGUGCAAACGCUAUUAAGGGUUCGUUUGUUCAACGAUCAAUAGUCCUACGUGAUCUGAGCAA